AAAUAGAUACCCCAGGUAGUCCACGCCGUAAAACGAUGAGUGCUAAGUGUUAGAGGGUUUCCGCCCUUUAGUGCUGAAGUUAACGCAUUAAGCACUCCGCCUGGGGAGUACGGCCGCAAGGCUGAAACUCAAAGGAAUUGACGGGGGCCCGCACAAGCGGUGGAGCAUGUGGUUUAAUUCGAAGCAACGCGAAGAACCUUACCAGGUCUUGACAUCCUCUGACAACCCUAGAGAUAGGGCUUCUCCUUCGGGAGCAGAGAGACAGGUGGUGCAUGGUUGUCGUCAGCUCGUGUCGUGAGAUGUUGGGUUAAGUCCCGNAACGAGCGCAACCCUUGAUCUUAGUUGCCAUCAUUAAGUUGGGCACUCUAAGGUGACUGCCGGUGACAAACCGGAGGAAGGUGGGGAUGACGUCAAAUCAUCAUGCCCCUUAUGACCUGGGCUACACACGUGCUACAAUGGACGGUACAAGAGCUGCAAGACCGCGAGGUGGAGCUAAUCUACAUAAACCGUUCUNAGUUCGGAUUGUAGGCUGUACC
rnacentral:rRNA from 1 species